rnacentral:rRNA from 1 species
UACGUAGGGGGCGAGCGUUGUCCGGAAUCAUUGGGCGUAAAGAGCGUGUAGGCGGCUUGGCAAGUCUGACGUGAAAUCCCGCGGCUCAACCGCGGUAGGUCGUUGGAAACUGCCUCGCUAGAGUCCGGAAGAGGAGAGCGGAAUUCCUGGUGUAGCGGUGGAAUGCGCAGAUAUCAGGAAGAACACCCGUGGCGAAGGCGGCUCUCUGGGGCGGUGCUGACGCUGAGACGCGAAAGCGUGGGGAGCGAACAGG